ensembl:lncRNA
AACAGCUACAGGAGCAAGGAGCUGGCCUUGCUCCCCUGCUCUGAGCUCUUUGCUGGAUAAGCCCGUAGGAAGACAACAGUCCAAAGAUGUAAGGUGAAACUUCUCAGCACCCGCGCACCUCCCCGCAGAGGCUUCUGAGGACCCCUCCCCAGGGGCAUCGGGGCAGACACUCACUGCCCUCCCCCUGGGAGAGCAAAGGUUCUGGUUCUGCUCUCUGCUGGCAGGAAGCUCGGUGGAAGGAGGAGAAGGCAGAAGAAUCUGAGGAGUCGAUGAAGGAGAAAGAGAAGGAGAGAAAGAAAGAGAGGAGGGAGGAAAGGCAGGCAAUUUACCUUCCAGCGAAGAGUGGGUUCUCCAUGGAAACAAAAGUGCCUGUUUGUCUUAAGAUGCCACUAAAGAAGAAAAUUGUAAAUCACUUUCCACCCAGGAGACAGAGAUGAUUGCCUGGCUUUGACAGCUGAAUUUGGAAAACAUUCCUAUCCAUCAUCCCAAUGCCGGCUCCCACCUAGGCCAGGUGCCAUGGGGCCUAUUUUUAAAAUGGCAGGCCUCUCACACCCUAUUUUAUCUUAAACCUUUCUUUUAGACAAAUAAUAUUCUGGGAUCAUUUUAUCACUUCUUCCAUCUUCAACUGCAAAGAAAAAGAAGGGAGAAACAGAGGGAAGGACCUAACAGAGAGAUGUGGGCAAAACGCGUGUAUUUGCCGUGACACCAGGAAGAGUCUUUCAUCCAGACACAGGUGCUGGAGGUGGACAGACUUGAACCUGAAACUCAACAGCCCUUGUGUCAAGCAACAGGCCGGAGACCGCGCCUCAACCUCUGACUCUCUUAUCUGGGAAGAAGAGGUGAUUGACGCCUAAGCUCUCAUGGGAGGGACUCUCCACUUAGUUUAUACAUGUCUGGGGCUUCCCUGGUGGCUCACAUGGUAAAGAGAUCCACCUGCAAUGCAGGAGACCUGGGUUUGAUCCCUGGGUUGGGAAAAAUCCCCUGAAGAAAGGAAUGGCAACCCACUCCAGUAUCCUUGCCUGGAGAAUCCUGUGGACAGAGGAGCCUGGCAGGCCACAAUCCAUGGGGUCGCAAAGGGUCAGACACAAGUUAAUUGUAUACUCAUAAGAAACCACUCUAGGGGCUUCCCUGGUGGUCCAGUGGUGAAG